rnacentral:rRNA from 1 species
GGACUACUAGGGUAUCUAAUCCUGUUCGCUCCCCACGCUUUCGCGCCUCAGCGUCAGUUAAAGCCCAGGUAGCCGCCUUCGCCACUGGUGUUCCUUCCGAUAUCUACGCAUUUCACCGCUACACCGGAAAUUCCGCUACCCUCUGCUUCACUCUAGACUGAUAGUAUCAAAUGCAGUUCCCAGGUUAAGCCCAGGGCUUUCACAUCCGACUUAUCAGUCCGCCUACACGCCCUUUACGCCCAGUAAUUCCGAUUAACGCUAGCACCCUCUGUCUUACCGCGGCUGCUGGCAC